CAUUCCAGAAGAAAAAAGGCUUGAGCUGUCUGUUGAAAACAUCUACCAAGACUGGCUUGAGAGUUCCGGAAUACCAAAGCCGCUGCAGAGGGAGCGCCGCUCCGGGGCGGAGUGCGGGCUCGCGCGGCAAGUGCGCGCCGAGGUCACGAAAUGGAUUCGAGUGAACCGGAGACCCCGAAAACGGAAGCGCAGGGAGAAAGAAGAGGUGUUUGAAAAGCUUCUUCCAGACCAGCUGGUCUUGCUUCUGGAGCAUCUCUUGGAGCAGAAGACUCUGAGCCCCCGAACUCUGCAAAGCCUCCAGAGGACAUACCACCUCCAGGAUCAGGAUGCAGAGGUAACCAGGAACACUCUCGGAGUUUAACCAGCAGGUCCCCACUGUUGGUGAAGAAUGGUGAUCCCAUUACAGUCCCAAACUAUUGAAACCACCAUUUUCUGUUAGCAGAA
rnacentral:sRNA from 1 species